GACGGGCCGCACAAGCGGUGAGUAUGUGGUUAAUUCGAUGCAACGCGAAGAACCUUACCUGGUCUUGACAUCCCGGAGACCCUUAGGAAACUAGGGGUGCUUCCAUCUGGAAGAAUCUGGAGACAGGUGCUGCAUGGCUGUCGUCAGCUCGUGUCGUGAGAUGUUGGGUUAAGUCCCGCAACGAGCGCAACCCUUGCCUUUAGUUGCCAGCAGUUCGGCUGGGCACUCUAAAGGGACUGCCGGUGUUAAACCGGAGGAAGGUGGGGAUGACGUCAAGUCCUCAUGGCCUUUAUGACCAGGGCUACACACGUACUACAAUGGCCGAUACAAAGGGCAGCGACACUGCGAGGUGAAGCCAAUCCCGUAAAAUCGGUCUCAGUCCGGAUUGGAGUCUGCAACUCGACUCCAUGAAGUUGGAAUCGCUAGUAAUCGUGGAUCAGCAUGCCACGGUGAAUACGUUCCCGGGCCUU
rnacentral:rRNA from 1 species